rnacentral:rRNA from 1 species
CCUACGGGUGGCAGCAGUGGGGAAUAUUGGACAAUGGGCGAAAGCCUGAUCCAGCCAUGCCGCGUGUGUGAAGAAGGCCUUCGGGUUGUAAAGCACUUUCAGUGGGGAAGAAAGCCUUGGGGCUAAUACCCUCGAGGAAGGACAUCACCCACAGAAGAAGCACCGGCUAACUCCGUGCCAGCAGCCGCGGUAAUACGGAGGGUGCGAGCGUUAAUCGGAAUUACUGGGCGUAAAGCGCGCGUAGGCGGUCUGAUAAGCCGGUUGUGAAAGCCCCGGGCUCAACCUGGGAACGGCAUCCGGAACUGUCAGGAGAGAGUGCAGGAGAGGAAGGUAGAAUUCCCGGUGUAGCGGUGAAAUGCGUAGAGAUCGGGAGGAAUACCAGUGGCGAAGGCGGCCUUCUGGACUGACACUGACGCUGAGGUGCGAAAGCGUGGGUAGCAAACAGGAUUAGAUACCCGGGUAGUC